UUCUCCGCACCGGGAUCCCCAGUCCCUCAGGUUCCGAUAGACCCUCCUGUCAGGCCCAUUCUCCCGGCCGCCUCAGUUGCAGUGUUAAGAUCAACAGUGUUAAGAUUAAAGCUUUGUGAUGUGCUAGCCACUACGCUGAGGAUAUGCCGUGUAGCAAAAUUCCUCAGGACUCCUCACAGCUGCCCUGUAAGGAAGCGGCCAUGGCCGGGUUCUAGGGAUGCGAGGCCGAGGCUCGGGGCGCUGAGUAGCCUAGCGCGUCGCCGAGGAGAGCUGGCACGUGAACCCUUGUCGUCUGCCGUCAGAGGUGUUAUGUGGUGGCCCUCAUUCUCCACACCUGGAGCAGACUCUAGGAUCUGCAGUUACUGUAUGAUGAGCCCUUCUGAGUAUUUUGCUUGAGUCUCGCUGUGUCAACCAGGCUGGAGUGCAGUGGCGCAAUCUCAGCUCACUGCAACCUCCACCUCCCAG
rnacentral:lncRNA from 1 species